rnacentral:rRNA from 1 species
AGUGAACGCUGGCGGCAGGCCUAAUACAUGCAAGUCGAACGGCAGCACAGCAGAGCUUGCUCUGUGGGUGGCGAGUGGCGGACGGGUGAGGAAUACAUGGGAAUCUGCCCAGUCGUGGGGGAUAACGUAUGGAAACGUACGCUAAUACCGCAUGCGCCCUAAGGGGGAAAGCCGGGGACCGCAAGGCCUGGCGCGAUUGGAUGAGCCCAUGUUCGAUUAGCUAGUUGGCGGGGUAAAGGCCCACCAAGGCGACGAUCGAUAGCUGGUCUGAGAGGAUGAUCAGCCACACUGGAACUGAGACACGGUCCAGACUCCUACGGGAGGCAGCAGUAGGGAAUUUUGGACAAUGGGCGCAAGCCUGAUCCAGCAAUGCCGCGUGCAGGAAGAAGGCC